AUUGAACGCUGGCGGCAGGCCUAACACAUGCAAGUCGAGCGAGCGGCGGACGGGUGAGUAAUGUCUGGGAAACUGCCUGAUGGAGGGGGAUAACUACUGGAAACGGUAGCUAAUACCGCAUACCAUCAGAUGUGCCCAGAUGGGAUUAGCUAGUAGGUGGGGUAACGGCUCACCUAGGCGACGAUCCCUAGCUGGUCUGAGAGGAUGACCAGCCACACUGGAACUGAGACACUGUCCAUACUCCUACGGAGGGCCGCAGUGGGGAGUAUUGCACAAUGGUCGCAAGCCGGAUGCAGCCAUGCCGCGUGUGUGAAGAAGGCCUUCGGGUUGUAAAGCACUGUCAGCGGGGAGGCGUUACCCGCAGAAGAAGCACCGGCUAACUCCGUGCCAGCCGCCGCGGUAAUUC
rnacentral:rRNA from 1 species